UGGGGAAUAUUGCACAAUGGGCGCAAGCCUGAUGCAGCCAUGCCGCGUGUAUGAAGAAGGCCUUCGGGUUGUAAAGUACUUUCAGUCGGGAGGAAGGUGGUAAGGUUAAUAACCUUGGCAAUUGACGUUACCGACAGAAGAAGCACCGGCUAACUCCGUGCCAGCAGCCGCGGUAAUACGGAGGGUGCAAGCGUUAAUCGGAAUUACUGGGCGUAAAGCGCACGCAGGCGGGUUGUUAAGUCAGAUGUGAAAUCCCCGGGCUCAACCUGGGAGCUGCAUCUGAUACUGGCAAGCUUGAGUCUCGUAGAGGGUGGUAGAAUGCCAGGUGUAGCGGUGAAAUGCGUAGAGAUCUGGAGGAAUACCGGUGGCGAAGGCGGCCCCCUGGACGAAGACUGACGCUCAGGUGCGAAAGCGUGGGGAGCAAACAGG
rnacentral:rRNA from 1 species